rnacentral:misc_RNA from 1 species
GAAAAAAAAAAAUCUUAAUCCAUUAGUCUUCUCCUCACUCUUCAGCUAUUGCAACGUCAGCUUCUCUGUCAUAUUCUCAGUCCGCAUUUUUCCGUCGGCGGGGCCACCACUUCCGUCUCCGGCCACCGCCACCGCCACUGGCAGCCCACCGCUAGCGGCUUCUUCAACUUUUGACACCAUUAUUAGUCAUUGGAGACUCCAUAGCUACUGCACAUGUGUUAACCGGCGUCGCUUCACCCAGCUGGGCAGAUAAUAUAUUCUGAAUACAUCAAAAUGCGAGCGUUUGUGUUCUAGUACAAGCAGAGGCCAAAUUGAAGUGAGGCGGAGGCUGAGAUUCAUUAGAUAUCAUUGUGACACAGUUAAAGUCAGUUUGGUGGUUAUUUUCACAACAUGCCUGAGAGUGAGCCAUUUUUUUGGAUGGAAGAGCAUGCAGGGAAGCUCUAUGUUCCUGUAGGUAUGAAAAGAAAAGCUAGAACAAGGAAACUGGAGUUUGUUGGGUGGGGAUCAAGGCCACUUAUUGAGUUUCUUGAAUCAAUUGGUAAAGAUACCAGUAAACAGAUUUCUCAAUAUGAUGUUACUGCCAUUAUAAAUAAAUAUGUAAAUGAUCAUAACCUUCAUCACCCAGCAAAAAAGAAGAGGAUUCUUUGUGAUGAGUGGCUCCUUUCUCUUUUUGGAAGGAAAACCAUUGCCCGAAACAAAAUCUAUGAAAUGCUGGGAACGCACUUUGCUGAAAACCAAGCCGAUUCAGAUGAUGAUUUUCUUUAUAGUUCAGAAGAAGAGGAUUCUGCCUGUCAGCAACAGAAGAAUUUAACUUCAGAAAGAAAAACAUAUAUUAAAAAGAAGGUUUUGGAAGCUCCAAAAAGCUGUUUUGCGGCCAUAAUUCCUGAUAAUAUUAAACUUGUCCAUUUGAAAAGGAGUUUAGUUCAGGAUCUUCUCAAGGAACCAGAAACAUUGGAAGGAAAAAUUGUAGGAAGCUUUGUAAGAGUCAAGUCUGACCCAAAUGACUACCUUCAGAAAAACUCUCAUAUGCUUGUGCAAAUUACAGGUUUAAAGAAGGGCCCUGAGUCCAAUGAUAAGGGUGCAGAAAUCGUUCUUCAAGUUUCAAAUUUUAUGAAAGAUGUCCAUAUAUCCAUGCUUUCCGAUGAUAACUUCUCUGAGGCAGAAUGUGAGGAUUUGCGUCAGAGAAUAAAAGAUGGUUUGCUAAAGAGGCCAACUCUUGUCGAGUUGGAAGAGAAGGUUCGUGUCUUGCAUCAAGAUGUAACAAAUCAUUGGCUUGUGGGAGAACUUGCUUUACUACAAAAGCUAAUUGAUCGAGCCAAUGAAAAGGGGUGGCGCAAAGAACUCUUUGAAUACCUGGAUAGAAGGCAGCUGCUGCAGACUCCAGAUGAACAAUAUCGGCUGUUGCGUGAAAUUCCAGAAGUUAUUGCUGAUGAAGUAGAAGUUGAAACUACUCCACAGGGUUGUCCAGAUGGUACAGAAGAGGGAAAUCAUAUUUCACCAGAAUCAGUCCCCAAUGAAGGUGCUGAAAUCCGUAUUCGUGAUGUGGCAGCGAAGAAAGUUCCAGCAGCUUGGAUUUCUUUUAAUGUGGAUUCAACAGGGAACCAAGCAGCCAUGGCAACAUCAAAUCAGAACAAUAGAAUGGGGAACCAAGCAGCCAUGGCAACAUCAAAUCAGAACAAUAGAAUGGGUAAAGUUUCCUCCUUUUUUUUCCUCCUCUUCACACUCCCUUUAUAAAAUUUUUAUAGCGGGUCAUUGGAAGAACAAGAUAAAGGGGAAGAAACAUGGAAUUGACGGAUAGUUUCUUUUCUAUUCUAUGCUGUUCAACAUUAUUUUUCUAUUUAGUUAUCCUUUGUGAUGUAAUUGAAAUAUACAUGGGGCAAGAUUCCUAAUUUAUUUCAGAUAUUAUAGUCGUUACUGUUUAUUGCAGGUGGUGAUUUGUUUUUAGCAUAUUUGAUGGCAAAUGGUGAUAUUUUUUUCUUUUUGUGUAAUGCCACGAUUUAUUGCGUAAUGGGUUGCUUAGCAUGUUUAGUAGUGACAACAAUUUACAGACUUGCAUUUAGUAUAAUGCUGUAGUACAUAGGUUUGGAAUUGUACAAAACAGUUCGUUAUCUUCAUAAGGAAACAGAGUUCAUUGAUAUCUACUUAUGACAUAUCUUUUCUCCUCAAUCCUGAUUAUUUGUGUUUCCUAUUUUAGCUGGGAAGGAAAAAUCACGACAGGCUCUUGGGGCUUUUAUUUUUAUUUUUUUAGUAUUUUUUUUUGGUUUGUGUGGUGAACAUUCUGCUUAUCAUUUCUUAAGAUGCCUUCAGUAUUUCUGCUUAUCAAGUUUUGUUGCUCUGUUCUGCAAAGAACAAGCCAUAAAAUGUUGGAAUAGAGUUUUUGCAUUGUCACAUUUCAAUCAUAUGCUUAAAUAAGAUGCGAACUACUUGAUUCUUUAUUUCACUGGUAUCUCAUGAUUUUGUUGCAGAUGAGCAAAAGCAACCAACAGAGAUUGAUUGUGAGAGCGAUGGUAAAAUGCAGCCUAUGAAUGGACAAGAGCAUUCUCAAUCUCAAGGUGUGAUGAAUGUCGAGGUGAUCAAAUUGAGUAGUGAUGAUGAUGAAGAAAAUGAAGAAGAUGAAGAUUCAAGUGAUGAUGAUAUGUCAAGCUAUAUAUGGUAUUAUAAAGAUCCUCAGGGAGAUACACAGGGUCCAUUCACAAUUGCAUCAUUGAAACGUUGGAGUGAUGCUGACUAUUUUCCUCCAAAUUUCAAGAUAUGGCAGGCAGGACAGAGCCCAAAGGAAGGUGUUGUACUGAGAGAUGUUCUUCGCGAGACAUAUCCAGAUUGAUUCCGGACAGUUCCAUCUGGUGGUCUGUUUCUCACAUUUGGUGUCCUUGUACAACAUGCAGGACUGCUAGAAAGUUAUACAAAUAAAUUGCAGGGCCUCUAUUAAGGAAAAUCCAUCAUUCCUGUAUGGUAGACUGUAGACUCCCUGUUUGCCCUGCCAAUAAGAACUCUUAGGGACUGCCUGUUUGUACAUUUUAGCUCUUAUUAAUUUUCAUGUAAUAUGGCUUCCAUAGACUGUUGUGAAACCUUUUUAAAUAAAAUUGACCACCAUCUUUCAGUAG